UUAAUAUUUCUACUUUCACUGUAAUGUGUAUGUGUUUGUCAAUUCCCUACACAGUGUGCAAUUUGUUUUCAUGCAAUCAUUGCCAGAAAUGAAUAAUCAUGAAUAAUGCAUGAUGCCGUCUUUAAAAUUCACCACUCAAGGCUAGAUUUAUACAGUUAUAUUUUUCCUGAAUGCUCCAUCCAUAAUACCCCCCUCUUUUUUUCAUUUACUUUUUAAAUUAUUCAAAUGGUUGUGAUAAUCAAAUGGAAUGGAUCCCAUAGUUUCUAUAUAUUCUCUAUUUCCUACUGUUCCAGGUCAUCACCCAUCUGGCUGUCCUGAAUCAUAUCUGUGAGGCCACCUCUCCAGAAUCUCUUUGUAGAAGCCUUAAUUACGGAGGAUGCAGCGCUUCUGGAUAAGAAAACACAGAGAGCAGUGGAACCAACCGAUUCCUGCUGGCAGGGAACGGGACUCAACCCUCUAGAGUGGCAGGCAGCCACUUAUCAUACAUUUGCAAACAUUAAAACACUGUUUUCACUUUGUCAUUAUAGGGUAUAAUGUGUGUAGAUUGAUGAAGGGAAAAACGAUUUAAUCAAUUUUAGGAUAAGGUUGUAACGUAACAAAAUGUGGAAAAACUCAAGGGGUCUGAAUACUUUCCGAAUGCACUGUAUUGUAUGGAGGCUGCUGAUGGAAUCACCUCUCGGCAUUGCAGUGUUUUCUGCAUGCGUGAAGAAAGCCAGCUUAAACUGCUUAAUUAUAUCAUGUAAGCUGCAAGAUCAAAGAGCAUAUUGAGCGCUUUUCUGUUAAGCAUAACCAUGUUGUAUGUGUGUGUGAGAGUGGGUGUGUGUUGGGUGUGGUGAUGUAAUGAUUGAGCACUGGUCCCAUUCCUUAAGCACUUCUUCUUUCCUUUCAACCAGCUCCAGAUGUUGGUGUACCAAUCUCCCCUGAUCAAUCUCACCUGAUCAAAAUUCCCCAAUCUCUUUGAGAGAGUGCUUACUGGGGCUCCGUGUCUGCUCAGAGAGUGCCUUAUAUGGAACGUUUACUUUUUUAUAACUUGUCACAUCGGGAUCAGCUUGUUGACAGGCUCUUGCCACAGUUGUUUGAACAGGUUAGAAUGGGAGUAAGCCUCAACACUCCAUCACAAGCAUGAUUGACGAAACAUGGACAGAAGAUACUUGCUGGCACCAGUUUUGCUGCUUGAAAGAGGAAAAGUAUUUUUUGGGGGCGCAUUGCAGAGAAUGUGUAUUUUUUUAAAGCCUUCACGGUACGAAUAACAUGCUGGAGUGGCUUACGUAACACUCUAAAUCAUUUAUGAAGCAUUGUGGUUUCCAAGGUGCACAUAAAACUGGUGACGCCCUGAGGACAUUUCUUGAUGAAAUGUUUCUGCACAUAGUUAUUUUUUUAACAAUUGACAACGUCAGGGUCGGUUCAGUGCUGCCAGUAUUGUUGAGGUUUACCUUUCCCUUUAGCACUUUCACACAGUGGAAGGAUUGGAUGGAUUUGUUUUUGUUCAACUUGAAACAACGCCAUUGACGCAGCUCUGCAACAGUAAGCCAACCUUGAACGGUCUGCAGUUUCCAUUUGAAAAGAACACAAUGAUUGAAAGGAUGAACAGGCAUUCUAUUGGAAUAAAUGUAAAGUGCACUUCGGCUUGGACAAUAGCAACAUAACUGGACUUCUAUUUUCAAAAGUUAUUGCAGAACCCUAUUAACAUUUACAUUAAGUCAUUUAGCAGACGCUCUUAUCCAGAGCGAAUUAUAAGUACAUACAUUCAUACUUUUUUGUACUGGCCCCCCGUGGGAAUCGAACCCACAACCCUGACGUUGCAAGCGCCAUGCUCUACCAACUGAGCCACACGGGACACAUUAACACUGCAUAUUAACACCGCACAACAGUAAAGGUACAUAAUUAAAACCAUUGGAUGCUGUAAACUAGGGCCUUAUUGAACACAUAAACCAAAUUGGUCAGCUGAUAUAAUUGAAUAGAAUCCAAUCUAUUCAAGCUGAAAUCAGCAGUGGAUAAAGUUAUGCUACUUGCACUGCGGCUGUCUCACCCUUCAAGUGUAAAAUUACACCACUCGGCACUCGCCUGCCUCUCGGUACCCCAGUUCUGCUAAUUUUGAUGUUUUUUUCCUGAACAAGUCUUAACUACUUAAUUCCACAUCUAGCUAACGAUUUUUGUGGUUGUAGAAUCUUACAUGAAAUAUAAAAUGUGCAUGAAAAUAGCUGGCUAGCUAACAUGCUAGCUGAGCUCGUCUCCAAUCCUAACACCAGUUCACACACUCAAUUCUGAAUAAAUACUCCCUCAAGGUAGCUAGUGUAAUAAAGAACACAAUUAGUUUUCAUGAGUCAGAGUCAUGAGUUCAUAAGUCAGUUGUUGUUCUGCCAUGAUUAGUGCACUCAGUCCUGCAGCAGCAGCUGACUGCCCUAGCUAUGACAUGAUCUCAUUGGCCGAAUGUAACAAAGUAGCGAGGAACACCAGUGUCAGUUAGAGACAUGCUGAUUUCUGAAAACAGUCCCAUAACUUUGGUGCAGUACAACUUUAUCAGCAAGCUGGAAAACUAGCUAACAUUGUGGUCAUUCAAACAACCUAGCAGUAAGCUGCUAGCUAGAAGUUUGUCUCUCUUUAGCCACGUCCUUUGAGUGGGUGGGAUUUAUCACAAAGACACACCUUGCCCAAAAGCCCAGUUCAGAGCACCUCGGGGCCAACCCCCAUAUUUUCAUGCAAACUGAAUUCACAACACAAGCAGUGGGGAGGACGAUGAUCGCUGAUUCACGCUUUAAGUAAGUUAUGUAAAAAAAAAAAUGAAGACGUAGAACUGACUGUAGUGAAACCAUUGUAUUAUUUUUCUAUUCUAUAGAAACGUUGACUGUAUGAAGCUAAUAUCUAACAGUCCAGUGAUAAAUACCCCUGGAGAACAAGUGGUAAACAGUCAUGUGCUCUUGAACUCGGCUAUCAGCCAUUUGCUGAGAUUGGGUUGUGAGUAACAGGCGGUGAAGAAACCCUAAUGCCCUUUCUACAGUCUAUAAUCGUAAGACCUCCAGUCACAUAAUAUACCUCUUAAGGAGCUCAGCUAGCUGUGGCACAAAAGAGACCCUGACACUUCUUCCUUUUCACGCUUGGGUAAGAGAUCAUACAUUUGGCUGGGUUGAAUUAAGUAGUUUGAAUCCUACUGGAUUGAAGUGCACUUUGAUCAAGGUUUCAUUAUCAGUGAUCGUCUACAGAGUCUGAAAGAAUAUUAAAAAGGUUUAAGCCUUAAAGGCAAUUCCACGGUAACGACAAUUUUCUGAGACUCAUUUUUCACUUUAAAACGUAUGCCAAACAAAAAACAUUGAUUUAAAAAACUGAUUUCACCAACAUACACUGAACAUUUUAGAAAAACUAAUUUACUGGAAAAACUGCAGAUGCAAAGUUUGGUAACAGGAUUUCGGUAAAAUCUCCCUCAGUUUUUUAAGACUUGAUGAUAGCUGACACCACAUUCUUUGUGUAGACAUGACAUAACACCUUGACUUUGAAAAAAUAUAUUUUAGUUCAGUGUAUUUACACCCAAUAACAGAAUUACGUAAUGUGUCCCUGAUCUGUACUUCACAGAAAUCCAUAAUGAUGGAUAUGAAUAUCAUUCUCUACAUGGCAAUAUAGCCUGAAUAGGUACACAAAGGUAGAAAUAUGCAAUAUCUUCCUUUGCAUAUUUGGGUAUUUUACUACACAUUGGCUAUUAUUUUAAUGAGCUACGCCCCCAAACAAGACCAAAUUUUGUUGGGCCGGACCAAAAUUGUACCAAUGAUAGAUGUCUAUGUUUCACAAGUUUGGACAUCAAAGUACAGCACAGUAGACCUCAGAAGGGUGCAGGAAAGGGCCCGGUUCCCCCAAAACAUCUUAAGGCUAAUUUCCUUGUUAGAACUUUAGUAGGCGCAUCGUUAAAUCUCUGCGCUGUUUCCCACAACCAUCGUUACUAAAGUUACACUUAAACGUUUGUUAUUUGCCGACUGCUUCAGACCACUCGUAGAACAGCUAAUGAAUGAAUAAAAAUAGGCUUCAUAUGAAAACUGAAAAGAUUGAAUAAAAAAUAAAGGCUACAUAGGCCUAUAUAUUUAAAUAAUAUUGAAAUCAAUUUCAUCUUCAGUCAAUUGAGUUUUGUGUAACAACAUUUGUGCAAUUCUUGGAGGAGUAUUUCCUGACCGAUUUCAUGUUUGGUUAAUGACGUUUGUCUCCCAAUGAAACACUGUAGACGCGGAAGCCUAUUUCACUUCCUCAACAUCCUCAGAAUGGAUCUAAGAUAACUCAAUGAAUGUUGACGUUUCUGCCAAUGUUUUAGUUGCGCAAUUGUAUAUCAAACUAAGGUGUUUGGUGCAGUAUUUACACAUGGUCUGCGGUUGUGAGUCCGGUUGGACGUACAGUGAUUCCUCCUUUAAAAGUUGUGUCAUACUGCGACAAACCCUGUGUGCUGCUGCAGCAUUCUGUGGCACGUCAUUUAAUUGUCAGAAAUGUUUUCAGUUACUGCAAGUUAUUGCUAGUUUGACCACCAGAGGGCAUCUUUGAGAAGCAUUUAAUUGUAUUCCGUAUUGGCAUUACCAGAGAAUUUAAAACCUUUUUGUAACAAGAUAGUAUAUAGGAUUGAUUAAGAUAUUUGGCUUAAUUAAUUUGAUUAAUAUUAUGGUGUUACCAUUCAGAGAAAAGGUAGUUCGUAAAUUCAUUCCGUUUUGCUCUCGGAGCGCACACAGGACAUUCGGGCCGAGGAGUAGGGUUGACAAAAGCUAACGUUGGCUAGCUACUUUCAGACACAAAUGAGACCACUCUGACCACUUUACUCACCCUAGUUGAGCUGGUCGGGUGUCGUUUUGAAGUAAUCGCGAAAAAACAGGCCUUAUUUUAAUGCAUUUUUCACCCUGCCAGCUCCUAUUUGUUCUAUUGAGCACUGUGGCACCAACUCGCCUUCCGAACGUUAUAUUCCCAGCUUAUUGUACAACGUCACAAUGCCUGCUUCGCUAUUCUUGGCAAUGAAACCUGCUCACAUUGUUUACAUUUCAACUACAAAAUAGAAUGUGAACAACAAAAAUAAUAUUGGAACUCCGCUGUCUUCCCAUUGUUUCCUAUGGGGGAAAUAUUGGCAUGUCUGUCUAUUUCGCCAAAUAUGUCGCAAUGUGGGUCAAGUUGGGUGUGACCGGUGUGAAAUGGCUAGCUAGUUAGCGGGGUGCGCGCUAAUAGCGUUUCAAUCGGUGACGUUACUCGCUCUGAGACCUGUAAGUAGUUGGUCCGAAGCUUUUGUGGAGCGAUGGGUAACGAUGCUUCGAGGGUGGCUGUUGUCUAUGUGUGUAGGUUCGAGCCCAGGUAGGGGUGAGGAGAGGGACGGAAGCAAAACUGUUACACAGGCACCAUCUUAAAUCAGGAGAAUCUCCUCUUUGUAAUUAUGUAAGUCUGGGCAACGAGCUCAUUUGUUAUCGAUCGCUAGACCAGAAAUAGUCACAAGUUUUUAUUUUUUUCCUGCUUUUUCAUGACGCAGACAUAAGCACAGUUAACACGAUCGAGGUGCAGAUGUUUACUUUCUACACAAGUCGUUUUUUUCCAGUUUCGUCCAAUGAACAGAUUGUAGUGGUAAAAUAAAAAGGGAUACAUUUUUUUAUGGAAUUCUAAGCAUCACUCCAAUCACAACAGGCUCUGCGAACUUUCGAUUCUACUAAUUUGCUAUGGGCUUCCGCUAGUGUUCCAGUUAAGCCAACGUUCUUAAACCGUUUUUCAGCCUUGGGUGAAUUUUGACUUGUUCUAUUGUCCAGCCUAUAGAUAGCCAGAGCGAAUUUACAAAAGCACCCGAAUGUCCAUUGAGAAAGCACAACAACUACACCAUUAAGCUAAGCUAAGCUAAGAAUGACAAGAAUAAUCAAGUUAAAUACCUGCAAGUUUGAUGUAUAACUACUAACGUUAGGUAGCUAGCUAACAUACCGGUACAUACUGCUGUAAUGAUACGCUAUGUGGUUCGUAAGGACAGUGUAGCUAACAAAUUGUCAGCCAACAUAACGUGUAAGGUAACUUAUUUGAAAAGUCAUUGCUUUUUUUCAUUGAGUAGCAAGCUACCCCUUGGUCGUUAGGGCAAGUCUGGUCUGUGAUAGGAGGAGGGGUUUUCACACCUAGCUCGGCUAUUAGAUUAUUCUUUAGUAAAAGUUGAAUAGUCUAUUGUUCAGCUAUUAACCCUCCUCCCCCAACUUGCAACAAAUUGCUGUUCCUAUCUCAUUCCUAUCACUCUGCUCCUGAGUGGCUCGCUUGUGGGCGUGCUGGCAGGAUAUGGCAGCAUCUUCAAAUGUGCGUCAAGAAUUAUGCAUACAGUAGCACGUUUGUAUGAAGUUAUGGCUAUUCACAGGCAAAUUGUUAUAUGCUAUGGAGGUACAUAUGUGUCUUCUUGUCGAGAGCAAAACUUUUUUUUUUUUUUCAAUCAAAAAUAAUUGUUCUGAAAGCAACUUCUUUCCAACACAAAGGAAGUCAAAGCGGACACCUACGAAGAUGGCAUCUCAGGUAAGCAGCACUGGGCUGUAUUGACGUAUCCUAAAAAUGACAUCUGCUGCUUUAGAUUGAACAGUCAUAUCUCAGUAAUUGUUUUCAUAUCUAUAUAAAAUUAGCUGUUUUCUUUACUUUCAGAGAGCAAGCUGACCAAGGGGUUGAAAAUGUAGAUAUUGCCAGAUGUUCACUGUCCGAGGAACAGGCCGUGGAAGCUUUAUUGCUAGCAAAAGUGUCCAUAACCAGAUGGCAUAUCAGCUGUUUUGGUGAACCCCUCCCGCAUCUGACCUGGCUGACACAGAGGGCACAGCAUGAUCAUAGGUAUGUUUUGAUGUAAGAGAGGAAGCCAGUCUAGUUAUCGCCACCUCACCCGCUCUUAAGAUAUCCUUUGGGCCAACUGGGGGCCCAAGCCUGGUGAGAAGACACCGCAAUUGUGAUGAACUGAGAGAAUAUUAGGGUAGCACUGUAAUUUAUGAAUCAUAUGCUGUCUGCCACUGUUCUUACACCUCUCUCCCCACCUCAUCUUUCAUCCUCGUUUGAUUAUGCACACCAUAUGUGCAUUGAAGUACAGAUUGAACUUGUAUUUAUAAUAUUACAAUUAUCAUAAUUAUAAUGCAUGUAUGUAUUUAUAACACCUGGAUAUAACACUAGCAACUUCUUUCAAUAAAGCGUUUCACAUUCUCCACUGGUUGAAGUUAAGUAUCUCAUUGAAAUACUAUCCUGUGUCCUCAGAUUAAUGCAGAUGAAGGGAGUUAGAUAUGCGUAAUUGUUUUCUGUAUAUAUGAAUUACAAAUCAAUCAUGUUUCUAGUCUAUUGCAUAGUUACAAUGUGUAAUCAUUGAUGUCCCAGGAGCAGGAGUGGUAAACACUGUUGACGUGUAUAAUUGUAAUACAUGCAGACACAGCAUCAUUCAAAUAAUGGAGUUUGAUAUGACUGAAAAAGAAUGUCUGAGAUUCAUACCUGAACCGCACCUUUAUUUGCCAAGGAAGAGUACAUGAUCAGUGAAUAUAUUCAAUGUACAGGCUACAAUGUGGGAUUCUCAUGUGUGGUAAUAACUACAGUACAUGUGUAUAUAGGACUUGCAUCCUUGGCACAAUAAAGUUAUUGUAUUCUACUC